AGCUCCUGGGGUUCUCCAGCUGGCUCCCCGUCGGACUGCAGAGCAGAGCAAGAGCCGCAGCGUGGUUUUGGCCUUAGAAACGUUGAGAAAUGUGCAGCUGGUUGGUCAUAGAAGAGUGGUCACAGCACCAGCCACCUGCAGCGGCCUCUCCACGUUAAUUUCCUGUUUAGUGCACUCAGAGAAGCAACAUGGGGCUUUGCUUUUUUGCGCCCUUUUUUUUCCCCCCAGCAUGCAGAAGCCUGAUCUGUGACCUUAUUUGCUUCUUUUUCAGUGGUUAGCCACGGUUCAAUAUGCAGUCACAAACCCCUAAUAGCAACAGGACUGCACGUGCUGAAUCCAUCUGUAAAUGCUGGCACAGGGAUCAAUACAGGUUACCAGAUAACACGAGAUGACUUCCACAGGAGCUUUGAGCCUUAAAGUCUACUUAAUUAUGAAUGAUCCCAUAUUAUGUCUUCUUGCAAUGGGAGGAAAAGCUGUUCAGAGAGGCGGUAUGCAGUUUCAGUAUUUACCAUUCAAGUGCAAAUGAGCCAUCACUGAUUUCAAAAUUAGCAUAUGUAAAUUAUUUGUUACUUUCCUUCAGAGUUCUUCUUUUCUCUACUUCAUUGUUUUAUGUUUAUACUUAAAAGCAGGUGGAACAAUGCACUCAGAGGAGGCAUGCUCAGCCAGUGUAGCUUUGUAGGUUUCCAAAACCAGGUGUUUUUGAGAAGAGGAAAAAGUGAUCAUUAUAAUGCAAAUAGUUAUUACUGUGUCUCAAGCCUAUUAUUAGCUAAGAGUUAUCGUUGACCUUGUGGUUUUCAUCCUCUUAUUGUAAUUGUAAGUACUGCUGUAUUUCAUAAUAUAAAUUAGUUCACAAAUGGGACCUGCUAACAAAGGACAUGGAAGAGGCUGAGGUACUCAUUGGCUUCUUUGCCUUGGUCUUCCCUGGUAAGAUUUGCCACAGGAUUUCCAGGUCCCUGAGACCCAUCAGAAAGUGAAGAGCAGCAAAGACUUACCCUCAGUAAAGCAGGAUCAAGUUGGGAGAGGGGAAGUUCCUGAGAACUCGGAAAAGCAAUUACCAGUCCUGUCUUUGAGAAGAGCAAGAAGGAGGGAGGAUCUGGGCCUAUCAGUUUUACUUCAAUGCCUGGGAAGGUCAUGGAGCAAAUAAUCCUGUAAAGCAUUUCCAAAUGGAUGAAGGACAAGAAGGUGACUGAAAGUAGUUGUCAUGAGUUUAUGAAGAUAAAAUCAGCUCACCUGAUUACCUCCUAAGAUGAAAUAACUAAGAUGAGGAGAGAGUAAUGCAUGUUGUUUAUUUUGACUUUGACAAGGCUUUUGACAGAGUCUGAAUAACAUUUUUAUAGGCAAACCGAUGAAGUUUCGUGGACUAGCUAAAAGGACAAUGAAAUGGACUGAAAACUGACUGAACUUCUGGGCUCAAAGGGUUGUGAUCAGUGACACAAAGUCCAGCUGGAGGCCAGCUAUUUGUGGUGUACCAAGUUAAUUGUAUAUGGCAUUAAAAAUACCUCUUAUCAAUG